rfam:Picea glauca, whole genome shotgun sequence.
ACAUGCCUAUAGCAUAGCAUUAAUGCACCAAAUCCCUUUAGAACUCCGCAAUUAAGCACACUUAGGCUAGAGUAGUACUAGGAUGGGUGAUCGCCUGGGAAUUCCUAGUGUUUUACAUGCC